CCUACGGGGGGCAGCAGUUAGGAAUCUUUUGCAAUGCGCGCAAGCGUGACAAAGCGAGCCAGAGUGCUUUUCAAUUGAAAAGCUUUUGCCAAAUCUAAAAAUUUUGGCGAAUAAGGACUGGGCAAGACUAGUGCCAGCCGCCGCGGUAAUACUAGCGGUCCAAGUCGCAGCCAUCAUUAUUGGGUCUAAAACAUCCGUAGCUUGCUUAAUAAGUUCCUUGUGAAAUCUUAUCUCUUAAGGAUAAGGCGUGCAAGGGAUACUGCUAAGCUAGAGACUGGAAGACGUAGAAAGUAUGUAUAAAGUAGCGGUAAAAUGUGUUAAUCUUAUGCAGACUCACAAUAGCGAAGGCAUUCUACGAGGACAGUUCUGACAGUAAAGGAUGAAGGCUAGGGGCGCAAAAUGGAUUAGAUACCCGCGUAGUCC
rnacentral:rRNA from 1 species